rnacentral:lncRNA from 1 species
UGAGAGGAAGGCAGUCAAGUAAAAUCAUGAAGUCAAACCAAAUUCAAGUAAGCAUGAUGAAAGUCAACAAGCAUGGGUCAACUUCAAAAAAUCAUAUCAAAUUGAAAACAGAAGAGAAAUGAAUGAGAUUAACACCAAUGCAAAUCUUGAGAUGUCUAGUUAUCACAUAUGAAAUUUCAUGGUCAUGCAAUAUGGUAUGAG